rnacentral:rRNA from 1 species
AUUGAACGCUGGCGGCAGGCCUAACACAUGCAAGUCGAACGGUAACAGGAAACAGCUUGCUGUUUCGCUGACGAGUGGCGGACGGGUGAGUAGUGUCUGGGAAACUGCCUGAUGGAGGGGGAUAACUACUGGAAACGGUAGCUAAUACCGCAUAACGUCGCAAGACCAAAGAGGGGGACCUUCGGGCCUCUUGCCAUCAGAUGUGCCCAGAUGGGAUUAGCUAGUAGGUGGGGUAACGGCUCACCUAGGCGACGAUCCCUAGCUGGUCUGAGAGGAUGACCAGCCACACUGGAACUGAGACACGGUCCAGACUCCUACGGGAGGCAGCAGUGGGGAAUAUUGCACAAUGGGCGCAAGCCUGAUGCAGCCAUGCCGCGUGUAUGAAGAAGGCCUUCGGGUUGUAAAGUACUUUCAGCGGGGAGGAAGGGAGUAAAGUUAAUACCUUUGCUCAUUGACGUUACCCGCAGAAGAAGCACCGGCUAACUCCGUGCCAGCAGCCGCGGUAAUACGGAGGGUGCAAGCGUUAAUCGGAAUCACUGGGCGUAAAAGCGCACGCAGGCGGUUUGUUAGUCAGAUGUGAAAUCCCCGGGCUCAACCUGUGAACUGCAUCUGAUACUGGCAAGCUUGAGUCUCGUAGAGGGGGGUAGAAUUCCAGGUGUAGCGGUGAAAUGCGUAGAGAUCUGGAGGAAUACCGGUGGCGAAGGCGGCCCCCUGGACGAAGACUGACGCUCAGGUGCGAAAGCGUGGGGAGCAAACAGGAUUAGAUACCCUGGUAGUCCACGCCGUAAACGAUGUCGACUUGGAGGUUGUGCCCUUGAGGCGUGGCUUCCGGAGCUAACGCGUUAAGUCGACCGCCUGGGGAGUACGGCCGCAAGGUUAAAACUCAAAUGAAUUGACGGGGGCCCGCACAAGCGGUGGAGCAUGUGGUUUAAUUCGAUGCAACGCGAAGAACCUUACCUGGUCUUGACAUCCACGGAAGUUUUCAGAGAUGAGAAUGUGCCUUCGGGAACCGUGAGACAGGUGCUGCAUGGCUGUCGUCAGCUCGUGUUGUGAAAUGUUGGGUUAAGUCCCGCAACGAGCGCAACCCUUAUCCUUUGUUGCCAGCGGUCCGGCCGGGAACUCAAAGGAGACUGCCAGUGAUAAACUGGAGGAAGGUGGGGAUGACGUCAAGUCAUCAUGGCCCUUACGACCAGGGCUACACACGUGCUACAAUGGCGCAUACAAAGAGAAGCGACCUCGCGAGAGCAAGCGGACCUCAUAAAGUGCGUCGUAGUCCGGAUUGGAGUCUGCAACUCGACUCCCUGAAGUCGGAAUCGCUAGUAUUCGUGGAUCAGAAUGCCACGGUGAAUACGUUCCCCGGGCCU